rnacentral:rRNA from 1 species
UAAUACGAAGGGUGCAAGCGUUACUCGGAAUCACUGGGCGUAAAGCGUGCGUAGGCGGUUGGUUAAGUCUGCUGUGAAAGCCCUGGGCUCAACCUGGGAACUGCAGUGGAUACUGGCUAGCUAGAGUGUGAUAGAGGAUGGUGGAAUUCCCGGUGUAGCGGUGAAAUGCGUAGAGAUCGGGAGGAACACCAGUGGCGAAGGCGGCCAUCUGGAUCAACACUGACGCUGAGGCACGAAAGCGUGGGGAGCAAACAGGAUUAGAUACCCUGGUAGUCCACGCCCUAAACGAUGCGAACUGGACGUUGGUUGCAACUUGGCAAUCAGUGUCGAAGCUAACGCGUUAAGUUCGCCGCCUGGGGAGUACGGUCGCAAGACUGAAACUCAAAUGAAUUGACGG